AGUGAACGCUGGCGGUAGGCCUAACACAUGCAAGUCGAACGGCAGCACAGUAAGAGCUUGCUCUUACGGGUGGCGAGUGGCGGACGGGUGAGGAAUACAUCGGAAUCUACUUUUUCGUGGGGGACAACGUAGGGACACUUACGCUAAUACCGCAUACGACCUACGGGUGAAAGCAGGGGUUCUUCGGACCUUGCGCGAUUGAUUGAGCCGAUGUCGGAUUAGCUAGUUGGCGGGGUAAAGGCCCACCAAGGCGACGAUCCGUAGCUGGUCUGAGAGGAUGAUCAGCCACACUGGAACUGAGACACGGUCCAGACUCCUACGGGAGGCAGCAGUGGGGAAUAUUGGACAAUGGGCGCAAGCCUGAUCCAGCCAUACCGCGUGGGUGAAGAAGGCCUUCGGGUUGUAAAGCCCUUUUGUUGGGAAAGAAAAGCAGCAGGUUAAUACCCCGCUGUUCUGACGGUACCCAAAGAAUAAGCACCGGCUAACUUCGUG
rnacentral:rRNA from 1 species